rnacentral:rRNA from 1 species
CGCGGCCUAUCAGCUUGUUGGUGAGGUAAUGGCUCACCAAGGCGACGACGGGUAGCCGGCCUGAGAGGGCGACCGGCCACACUGGGACUGAGACACGGCCCAGACUCCUACGGGAGGCAGCAGUGGGGAAUAUUGCACAAUGGGCGAAAGCCUGAUGCAGCGACGCCGCGUGAGGGAUGACGGCCUUCGGGUUGUAAACCUCUUUCAGCAGGGAAGAAGCGAAAGUGACGGUACCUGCAGAAGAAGCGCCGGCUAACUACGUGCCAGCAGCCGCGGUAAUACGUAGGGCGCAAGCGUUGUCCGGAAUUAUUGGGCGUAAAGAGCUCGUAGGCGGUCUGUCGCGUCGGAUGUGAAAGCCCGGGGCUUAACCCCGGGUCUGCAUUCGAUACGGGCAGACUAGAGUGUGGUAGGGGAGAUCGGAAUUCCUGGUGUAGCGGUGAAAUGCGCAGAUAUCAGGAGGAACGCCGGUGGCGAAGGCGGAUCUCUGGGCCAUUACUGACGCUGAGGAGCGAAAGCGUGGGGAGCGAACAGGAUUAGAUACCCUGGUAGUCCACGCCGUAAACGGUGGGAACUAGGUGUUGGCGACAUUCCACGUCGUCGGUGCCGCAGCUAACGCAUUAAGUUCCCCGCCUGGGGAGUACGG